CUACGGUGAAUACGUUCCCGGACCUUGUACACACCGCCCGUCAAGCCAUGGAAGCUGGGUCGUACCUAAAGUCGAUAACCGUAAGGAGUCGCCUAGGGUAAAACUAGUAACUGGGGCU
rnacentral:rRNA from 1 species